rnacentral:rRNA from 1 species
UGGGGAAUAUUGGACAAUGGGCGAAAGCCUGAUCCAGCCAUGCCGCGUGUGUGAAGAAGGUCUUCGGAUUGUAAAGCACUUUAAGUUGGGAGGAAGGGCAGUAAGCGAGUACCUUGCUGUUUUGACGUUACCGACAGAAUAAGCACCGGCUAACUCUGUGCCAGCAGCCGCGGUAAUACAGAGGGUGCAAGCGUUAAUCGGAAUUACUGGGCGUAAAGCGCGCGUAGGUGGUUCGUUAAGUUGAAUGUGAAAGCCCCGGGCUCAACCUGGGAACUGCAUCCAAAACUGGCGAGCUAGAGUAGGGCAGAGGGUGGUGGAAUUUACUGUGUAGCGGUGAAAUGCGUAGAUAUAGGAAGGAACACCAGUGGCGAAGGCGACCACCUGGGCUCAUACUGACACUGAGGUGCGAAAGCGUGGGGAGCAAACAGG